CUACUUAUUAUGACUGGUUUUGUGGUCCAGGGUCACAUUUUUCUAUAACAAUACAGUAUUUCAUUUGUGUGUUUGUAUUUUCUGUUGGCUGUUUAGAAUGCGAUCUUGUGACGUAUGAUUCGCGAUUCAGUCGCGCGGCCGCUGACUCACGACGAAGACGACUCCCUCGAAUCGUUUGGUGCGCUUUCUUACACCAAACAACUGGAUGCUGGAACACAGACAACAGCAACAAAAAAUCUUUGCACAGACUGAAUAUUUAGCUAAAGUAGUGUGUAAAAACCAAACAUCGAGUGCAUCCCGUCGUGUGCUAGCGGUGGAGUUCAAACACAUACAUGUGCAGAAAGUAAACGACUCUGAGGUCUCUAUUGUGUUUCAACGAUCAUUCAUCAUUCACUUGGUCACUACCUCUUAAAACCAGUGAGGGCAUGGAAAUGUUUUCUAGGAGAGAUCCAACUUGUGUCCUUAAAAGAACUUAAGAAGUCCACCUCUGACCUCUGUAUUUUCAUGUUUAUGAGUCACAGGUACAGUCUGUCUUCUGACAUUCAAAGCCUGAAGCUUUCAACAAAGAUUAAAGAAAACAGAACUGAAUUUCUCCACCCACUACAUAAUUGUGGUGGUUUAAGGGUCUUGAAGAUGUUAUUUUGUGAGGGAUCAUUGUAAAGGUUGGAGAGAUGACCUCAUAGAAUUAAAACAUCAAGUCUCUUCAUCUGUUUUUCUCUCCUUCAUUACACAAUCCUAGCAACAAAGACAGAUGCAAUAUCAAUGUUUUUAAUGUUUUAAGAAUGUCUGAACUGGACUAAGAUUGAACUACAGUAAAUCAGUCUAUCUUUGAUGUCACACCCCUUUUGCCUUCUGGCUGGCGAGCAACUACAUUUAUUUAUUCAUUCCUUCAUUAGACUCACACUAUUUUUGUAAUGUACCAUAUUUUAUUAUGAAUUAUAUUUUUUUGUGAAAAAUAGGACUCACAAACUAUAUUGAUGGAUUACAUGAUUCCAUUAAAAGGCAUGCAAUGA